rnacentral:rRNA from 1 species
AUACGUAGGGAGCAAGCGUUAUCCGGAUUCAUUGGGCGUAAAGCGCGCGUAGGCGGCUUAUUAAGUCAGGUGUCAAAUCUGAGGGCUCAACCCCCAGCCGCACCUGAAACUGGUAGGCUCGAGUUCGGUAGAGGAAAGUGGAAUUCCCAGUGUAGCGGUGGAAUGCGCAGAUAUUGGGAAGAACACCGGUGGCGAAGGCGGCUUUCUGGGCCGUAACUAUCGCUGAGGCGCGAAAGCUAGGGGAGCAAACAGGAUUAGAUACCCUGGUAGUCCUAGCCGUAAACGAUGGGCACUAGGUGUGGGGAGAUCACUCUUUCCGUGCCGCAGCUAACGCAUUAAGUGCCCCGCCUGGGGAGUACGACCGCAAGGUUAAAACUCAAAGGAAUUGACGGGG